GACGAACGCUGGCGGCGUGCUUAACACAUGCAAGUCGAACGGAAAGGCCCUGCUUUUGUGGGAUGCUCGAGUGGCGAACGGGUGAGUAACACGUGAGUAACCUGCCCUUGACUUUGGGAUAACUUCAGGAAACUGGGGCUAAUACCGGAUAGGAGCUCCUGCUGCAUGGUGGGGGUUGGAAAGUUUCGGCGGUUGGGGAUGGACUCGCGGCUUAUCAGCUUGUUGGUGGGGUAGUGGCUUACCAAGGCUUUGACGGGUAGCCGGCCUGGGAGGGUGACCGGCCACAUUGGGACUGAGGUACGGCCCAGACUCCUACGGGAGGCAGCAGUGGGGAAUAUUGCACAAUGGGCGGAAGCCUGAUGCAGCAACGCCGCGUGCGGGAUGACGGCCUUCGGGUUGUAAACCGCUUUCGCCUGUGACGAAGCGUGAGUGACGGUAAUGGGUAAAGAAGCACCGGCUAACUACGUG
rnacentral:rRNA from 1 species